AGCUCGUGCCUUCCGUGCGUGAUGCCAGCGAAACCAGCCGUUUGCUGCUGCGUUCAUCCCCUCCAGUCAACGACGCCAGCUGAAGGUGACCGAAUUCCCCAGCUCGAAGACCAGCGGAGCAGCACGCCAGCGAAGCCCGUGAAUUCGUAUGCCUUCAGCCCAUCAAUUUCAGUCAUUCAAGUCCAGCAGUUCUUCAGCCAAUUUAGUUUAAGUUGCAGCCCAGUAAUUGAGGCCCAUCUCCUGCAAUCUUCAAGCCCAAUUCAAUCCAAGUGAAGUAAUUAGUCAAGCCCAGUUCAGCAGCCCAUCAACUGAAAUUGGAGACCCAAUUUCCAGCAAAGAAAUUUGAAGCCCAAGUGAAGUCAGUCCAGAAAUUUCAGCAGGCCCAAUUCAACUUGGGUCUGGCCCAAAAGCAAGAACAAAUCUCAGUUGGGCUGAGAUUUGUUGGGCCAAGGUCAAGGCCCGGUCCCAAGCCCACCGGUGUUGUCGAAAGUCCGAUUUCGGCCGCCGUCGCGUC
rnacentral:lncRNA from 1 species